CAGAGAGAGAGCCUGGACUUUCAGUUCCAGGUAGAAGACUCCCACCUACUGCAGUAACAGCAGAAAGGGCUGCCUGGGAUUUAAAUGUGAGGGAUUUGAAUAUCAGCAAGCUGAUAUUCCAGGCUGAGCUGGAAGAAGUCUUUUCACUUCUUCCCUGGGGGUUUUGCCUCUUCUGAGCUUGGGGUGGCCCUGACCUGAGUGAGCUCAGCUACCCGUGAAAGAAGGAGGAAACAGAUUGCGGUUGUGAGGUGUGGCUGUCCGGAGUGGGAGAGGACUAGCGACCAGCGUCACCCUAAGGCCAGCCUGGAUUUCCCCGGGGGACAUUUGCUUAACUCAGGGGUCAGCAGUCUGGGCUGCAACAUCCACUAAACCUGGGCCUGUGCUGCCUGCAUCGCCAGCCGGUUUGUUUUCCAGUUCUUUCCAAGACAGGACACCGCCCCCCUUCCCCAGCAUCAAUGCCCCAGCUGGAGAAUACCUUCAAGACACAGAAAGAAUUUACAGACAUACUAAUCAUAUUAAGGAAGGGUGCCUGGCCAUGUUCUGACUCCAUGUGGAGAAGAAACCCUUCAUUGUGAAGAGCAGCCAACAGGCGAACGGAACGGCAGCCUGAGGUCUCCUGUAGCCCAGGCUAGCCCUGGACUCACCACGGAGCUGAGUGUGAACCCCUGAUCCUCCUGCUUCAGCUCCUCAGUGCUAGAAUUACAGACUUGCAAGGCAAGCUCGGCUUGAAGCAAUGGCUACCAAACCGUGGAGAGCUUUACAGUGUAUGAAGAUGACUGGAAGAAAUUGUCUGUAUCUAGCACAAUACUGAGUGCAGGGAAUUCAUUCUUGUAAUUAAAGAAGGAAAUGUCUACUUGACACGAAAGAUGCCAGUAACAGAGGAAGAGAGGAAUGAUACACAGAAGACAGGCAAUGGUACGUGUCAGGUUUACC